rnacentral:antisense_RNA from 1 species
GGUCCCAUUCGCCGCCGCAGCCGCCGCAGCCGCCUCAGCCUGACAGUCGCCCGUAGGGGAGAACUGAGGUCGCUUGAAGCGCUUCGUCCGGCUCUUGCCCAUGGUGACGUGCGCUGUGCGGACAGACCACCGAGAGAGGAGGGCAACAGCCGGCGGUGGAGGCUGCCGCGCCGUUAACAAGAGUCUCACUCUGUUGUCCAGGCUGGAGUGCAAUGGUGCGAUCUCGGCUUAUUGUAACCUCUGCCUUGGAGUUCAAGCAGUCCUCUGCCUUAGCCUCCUAAGUAGCUGAGAUUACAGCUCCAGCUACCAUGCGGUGACCACAGGCCCGGGUGCUUCUUGCUGUGAUGAAUGAGCCACAGGGACCAGGUCUGCAUGCUCUGCUGCGCAUUGCUUAACCCCGACAGCUCCUUCUCCAGCGCCGCCUCAGAGAAGACUGACAUCCCUUCCACCCCACAUUCACGCCGUCCCACACUGGGGUGACAGGAGGAGAGUUAAGUUGCCCUCUC